rnacentral:rRNA from 1 species
UACAGAGGGUGCGAGCGUUGUUCGGAAUUACUGGGCGUAAAGCGCGCGCAGGCGGCCUUUUAAGUCUGACGGUGAAAUGCCGGGGCUCAACCCCGUGCCCGCCGGAGAUACUGGGAGGCUGGAGACGAGUAGAGGCAAGCGGAAUUCCGGGUGUAGCGGUGGAAUGCGUAGAUAUGUGGAGGAAUACCGAUGGCGAAGGCAGCCCCCUGGGAUAACACUGACGCUCAUGCACGAAAGCGUGGGGAGCAAACAGG